GCGGAGGGAUCAUUACCGAGUUUACAACUCCCAAACCCCUGUGAACAUACCAAUUGUUGCCUCGGCGGAUCAGCCCGCUCCCGGUAAAACGGGACGGCCCGCCAGAGGACCCCUAAACUCUGUUUCUAUAUGUAACUUCUGAGUAAAACCAUAAAUAAAUCAAAACUUUCAACAACGGAUCUCUUGGUUCUGGCAUCGAUGAAGAACGCAGCAAAAUGCGAUAAGUAAUGUGAAUUGCAGAAUUCAGUGAAUCAUCGAAUCUUUGAACGCACAUUGCGCCCGCCAGUAUUCUGGCGGGCAUGCCUGUUCGAGCGUCGUUUCAACCCUCAAGCCCAGCUUGGUGUUGGGACUCGCGAGUUAAAUCGCGUUCCCCAAAUUGAUUGGCGGUCACGUCGAGCUUCCAUAGCGUAGUAGUAAAACCCUCGUUACUGGUAAUCGUCGCGGCCACGCCGUUAAACCCCAACUUCUGAAUGUUGACCUCGGAUCAGGUAGGAAUACCCGCUGAACUUAAGCAUAUCAAAACGGGGAGGAAAAGGAUCAUUACCGAGUUUACAACUCCAAACCUGGUGGAACAUACAAUUGUUGCCUCGCGGAUCAACCGCUCCCGGUAAAACGGGACGGCCGCCAGAGGACCCUAAACUCUGUUUCUAUAUGUAACUUCUGAGUAAAACCAUAAAUAAAUCAAAACUUUCAACAACGAUCUCUUGGUUCUGGCAUGAUGAAGAACGCAGCAAAAUGCGAUAAGUAAUGUGAAUUGCAGAAUUCAGUGAAUCAUCGAAUCU
rnacentral:rRNA from 1 species